rnacentral:rRNA from 1 species
GAUGAACGCUGGCGGCGUGCCUAAUACAUGCAAGUCGAGCGAACAGAUGAGGAGCUUGCUCCUCUGACGUUAGCGGCGGACGGGUGAGUAACACGUGGAUAACCUACCUAUAAGACUGGGAUAACUUCGGGAAACCGGAGCUAAUACCGGAUAAUAUAUUGAACCGCAUGGUUCAAUAGUGAAAGACGGUUUUGCUGUCACUUAUAGAUGGAUCCGCGCCGCAUUAGCUAGUUGGUAAGGUAACGGCUUACCAAGGCAACGAUGCGUAGCCGACCUGAGAGGGUGAUCGGCCACACUGGAAGUGGGACACGGUCCAGACUCCUACGGGAGGCAGCAGUAGGGAAUCUUCCGCAAUGGGCGAAAGCCUGACGGAGCAACGCCGCGUGAGUGAUGAAGGUCUUCGGAUCGUAAAACUCUGUUAUUAGGGAAGAACAAAUGUGUAAGUAACUAUGCACGUCUUGACGGUACCUAAUCAGAAAGCCACGGCUAACUACGUG